GCCUACGGGGGGCAGCAGUGGGGGAUAUUGCACAAUGGGGGGAACCCUGAUGCAGCGACGCCGCGUGGGUGAAGGAGCGUUUCGGCGCGUAAAGCCCUAUCGGCAGGGAAGAAGAUGACGGUACCUGACCAAGAAGCCCCGGCUAACUACGUGCCCGCAGCCGCGGUAAUACGUAGGGGGCAAGCGUUAUCCGGAUUUACUGGGUGUAAAGGGAGCGUAGACGGCAGUGCAAGUCUGAAGUGAACGGCAAGGGCUCCACCUUUGGACUGCUUUGGAAACUGUGCUGCUCGCGUGUCGGAGAGGCA
rnacentral:rRNA from 1 species